GACGAACGCUGGCGGCGUGCCUAAUACAUGCAAGUAGAACGCUGAAGGAGGAGCUUGCUUCUCUGGAUGAGUUGCGAACGGGUGAGUAACGCGUAGGUAACCUGCCUGGUAGCGGGGGAUAACUAUUGGAAACGAUAGCUAAUACCGCAUAAGAGUAGAUGUUGCAUGACAUUUGCUUAAAAGGUGCAAUUGCAUCACUACCAGAUGGACCUGCGUUGUAUUAGCUAGUUGGUGGGGUAACGGCUCACCAAGGCGACGAUACAUAGCCGACCUGAGAGGGUGAUCGGCCACACUGGGACUGAGACACGGCCCAGACUCCUACGGGAGGCAGCAGUAGGGAAUCUUCGGCAAUGGACGGAAGUCUGACCGAGCAACGCCGCGGGAGUGAAGAAGGUUUUCGGAUCGUAAAGCUCUGUUGUAAGAGAAGAACGAGUGUGAGAGUGGAAAGUUCACACUGUGACGGUAUCUUACCAGAAAGGGACGGCUAACUACGUG
rnacentral:rRNA from 1 species